CGAACGGCAGCACGGGGGCGACCCUGGUGGCGAGUGGCGAACGGGUGAGUAAUACAUCGGAACGUAUCCUUGAGUGGGGGAUAACGCAGCGAAAGUUGUGCUAAUACCGCAUAAGCUCUGAGGAGGAAAGCGGGGGACCGAAAGGCCUCGCGCUGGAGGAGCGGCCGAUGUCCGAUUAGCUAGUUGGUGAGGUAAAGGCUUACCAAGGCGACGAUCGGUAGCUGGUCUGAGAGGAUGAUCAGCCACACUGGGACUGAGACACGGCCCAGACUCCUACGGGAGGCAGCAGUGGGGAAUUUUGGACAAUGGGGGAAACCCUGAUCCAGCCAUGCCGCGUGAGUGAAGAAGGCCUUCGGGUUGUAAAGCUCUUUCGGCAGGGAAGAAAAGUCUGACGUGAACAGCGUUGGAUGCUGACGGUACCUGAAGAAGAAGCACCGGCUAACUACGUGCCAGCAGCCGCGGUAAUACGUAGGGUGCGAGCGUUAAUCGGAAUUACUGGGCGUAAAGGGUGCGCAGGCGGUUUAGCAAGUCUGAUGUGAAAUCCCCGGGCUUAACCUGGGAACUGCGUUGGAAACUGCUGGACUAGAGUGUAGCAGAGGGGGGUGGAAUUCCACGUGUAGCAGUGAAAUGCGUAGAGAUGUGGAGGAACACCGAUGGCGAAUGCAGCCCCCUGGGCUAACACUGACGCUC
rnacentral:rRNA from 1 species